rfam:Spinacia oleracea cultivar SynViroflay scaffold11868.con0012.1, whole genome shotgun sequence.
GUCACUUCGGAGACAUCUGAUAAAAUUGGAAUGAUACAAAAAAAUAAGCAUGACCCCUCCUCAACGAUGACCCACUCAAAUUGAGAAAUGGUCCAAUUUUAU